rnacentral:lncRNA from 1 species
ACUGUGAACACAUAUACAACUUUAACUAUGUACCAGGCACUGUUGUCAGUGCCUCAUUUAAUCCUCACAGCAACAGAACCAAAUCGCAGACACCAUGAUGAUGAUUUCCACAUAGCUCCUAAGGGGCAUGGCUGGGUUUCAAACCCAGGCAGCCUGGCUCCUCAGCCAUACCCUUAAUCUCUAUGCUUGAUGCCUUCCUCUCCUGAAGACAAGCAGUUAAAGGAUAAGGGUAGAAAAUGUGGGAAGAAGUCUAUCCCAAGAUAAAUCUCUUAAUGUUUUAAGUAGCAUUUUACAAAAUAAAUAUUAUAUGGUAAUUUUUCCUUAUUUUAGCUAAAAUUUAACACCAUGUAAGCCUAAAUUAUCAAAAAUACUUACAAUGAUUUUCUGGUUUCUAAAAGAUUUGGGCAAACUCAAAGCAUUAUACCCACCCUCCAAUCUAGGAAAGCUUCUAUUGUCCUUCCACUUCAAUUCAUUUAUUUUGAUAAGUACGGGAGAAACCCUAUGUUUUAGAAAUAUUUGUUAAACAUACAUAGCACAUGACGGGGAGAAUCAAACCUUUCAAGAUCCCUAAUAAAGAUUUAAUAUCAUGUGGUUUCAUACAAUCUUUUCAGUUCCCUAGCAGGAAAAAAGUCAUCUUUUUGCCCAUUCAAAAUUUUAAUAUAUUACAUAUUAAGAUAAGUAGCUAUAGAAGAAGCAGGAUUGAGAUUUUUUUAAAAAUUUAAAAUAUAUAUAUUAGUAGCAAAAACAGAGUCUUGUCCUUAUCCUAUACAUAAAACUUUGAGCAACUAAACUUCUGAUUCUAUCAAUUGUUUCUGUAUCAUGCUUUAACUAUCAGUUUGCAUCAACUAAAACUCAUACAAAAAUGACGCAU